UACGGAGGGUGCAAGCGUUGUUCGGAAUCAUUGGGCGUAAAGCGCGCGCAGGCGGCCUACUAAGUCCGGUGUGAAAGCCCGAGGCUCAACCUCGGAGGCGCAUUGGAAACUGGUGGGCUUGAGUCCGAGAGAGGUCAGUGGAAUUCGUGGUGUAGGGGUGAAAUCCGUAGAGAUCACGAGGAACACCAGCGGCGAAGGCGACUGACUGGAUCGGAACUGACGCUGAGGCGCGAAAGCGUGGGUAGCAAACAGG
rnacentral:misc_RNA from 1 species